UUCUGUUGUUCUGCCGGAAGGCUGCAGAAGGCAGUCACAGGAGUCCUGGUUGAAGGCUUGGGUGGCAGGAGGAUUGUAAGUGUGGAAUAUGGGGCCACCCAUGAUGGGGCAGCACCGAGGGGUUAUGGGGGAGGGACCCAGGGAGGGAGCAGGAGGGGUGGAACAUGCCUCUUCCCUGUCUGUUCCAUCCCAGGGUUUUGAUGGCUGAGGUGGAGGAAGGGGCAGCGGUAGAGCUCCAGGGACUUCCCCCUGACAUGCCAGAGGAACUGCUCAUGCUGUACUUUGAGAACCGCCGGCGCUCCGGUGGGGGGCCUGUGUUGAGCUGGCAGAGACUUGGCUGUGGGGGUAUCCUUACCUUUCGAGAGCCUGCAGGUGAGGGAGCUGGCUAAAGGGGGCAGCCUGGGAACCCUGAUACCCUAAUGACACUGACGUCCCACCCCUGCUCACAGAUGCCAAAAGGGUCUUGGCCCAGGCAGAGCACCGACUACAUGGUGCCAGACUGAGCCUGCACCCAGCUCCACCACGCGCCCCUGCACGUCUGCUUCUCCAAGGAUUACCACCUGGCACUGUGCCACUGCGCCUGGAGCAGCAUGUCCAGGCCCUGCUGAGUGCCAUGGGGCACCCAGUGCAGUCCUGCCAUGCCCUGGCCAGUCCCAGGCCUGAUCGGGCCCUGGUCCAGCUGGCCAUGCCCCUUUCUGAGGCAGGUGAGAGGCCUGAAUGGGGCUGAGGUGCUGGUUAGGGGAGGUACACCAAGCUGACUUGCACCCUUCCCACAGAAAUUCAUGUCCUGGAGGAACAGGCCCGGAAUACGGACCUGGAUGGGGCUAUGGUGUCAGUGACCUGGGUGCCUCAGGCCCGAGCUGUGCGUGUGGUGAGGGGCACACCCCCUUUGGACAUGCUGCUGCUAGAGUUGUACCUGGAGAAUGAGCGCCGCAGUGGUGGGGGGCCCCUGGAGGGCCUGCGCAGCCUGCCGAGACAGCUGGGCACUGUUGUCUCCUUCCAGCAGUGGCAGGGUGAGUGGGCUGGGCAGACACAUGGGACCCUUCCUCUUUCACAAAAACUUGAUAGGCUUUCUGUCUUCUUUCCUCCAAGUGGCUGAACGGGUGCUGCAGCAGGACCACUGGCUGCAGGGCUCAGAGCUGAAACUUGUCCCCCACUAUGACAUCUUGGAGCCUGAGGAGCUUGCUGAGGGCACCAAAGGAAAGGAUAACCCAUCCAUGCUGGGAUCUGAGCAUGCUCUCCUGGAGACUAGAGGGCUGGCAGAAACCCUGAAGUGUGCAGGGGCUGUGACUGUGGGUUCUGGGGAGGCACCAGGGCAAUUGGAAGCCUUUCUGAGGACAGGUCUUCAGGCUGUGCCAGUUGGCUUGGAUCCCGUGGGAUGUCCAGAGCAAGAGGGGCCUAUGGGAUCUCUGGAGCAGGAAGGGCCUGUGAGCUUGGGGACUGUGGGGUCUCCAGAGCAGGCUGGGCUCAUGAGUCUGGGGCCUAUGGGGUCUGCAGGCUCAGUGGGCCCAGUGGAGGUCUCUAUGGAGUUGCUGGGACAAGUGAAGCUCAAGGGCCAGAGACCCAUGGGGCUUCUGGCACAGGAGAGCCUGAUGGAAGUUGCCAGGGGCUCACCAGGUCAGGAGGGGCUGGUGGGUCCAGAAGAGAUUGCCCUGGAAUCUGCAGAGAAGGUUGGGGUGAAGAGCCCUGGGCAUAUGGGGCUUCAGGGUCAGGAGGGCCUGGUAGAGAUGGUGUUAUCGAUGGAGCCAGGAGCUAUGCGCUUCCUACAGCUUUAUCAUGAGGACCUUCUUGCCAGCCUGGGAGAUGUCGCUCUUUUCCCACUUGAAGGAAUGGAGGUGACUGGCUUUCGGGUGAGUGACCCAUAGAAAUUCCUCACUUUUGCCUCCUUUUCCCACUGGGGCUCUGGGUACCUUUCCUGUACCCUGAAUCUGCAUACUGUUCCUCUCUCAUGGUCCUGCAGCUCUGUGGAGCCCAGGCCUCAUGCCAGGUGGCCCAGGAGUUGCUGCAGAGUCUGCUGGGUAGCAUCAGCUGCCAUGUGCUGAGCCUGAAGCACCCAGGCAGUGCCAGGUUCCUGCUGGGUGUGGAGGGGCAGCACCUUUUGCAGGGUUUGGAGGCUCAGUUCCAGUGUGUCUUUGGGACAGAGCGUCUGGCCAGUGCCAACCUGGUCAUGGACCCUGAAGAGGUAGAGAUGAAGUUCUUCCCUAUCUCUCUCCUGUCUUACUCUCCAGCUCCAGGUACCCCCUCUCCCUUGCCCAAAGGCUAGUGACCCUGAUAUCCUUUCCCCACAGGUGGAUUCCACUGAGAUCCUUCAGGUCCUCCCUGGCCACAGCCAUACCUGGUGGCCCACAGAUAGUACAGGCAGUGACCAGGAGAACAUGAGCCUGGGUAGGGCUCCCUGGUAGGGGCCCCCAGCAUGUCCUGUGGUCCUUUUUUGACCCUGCUCUCUGCCUUGCUCUGAACUCUUACCUCUCUAGUGACCCUUCCCAGGCCCAUCCUCUACCCUCAAACUCACUCCAUCUUUCAUCCAUUCCAUCUCAUCCUGUUUUUCAAUACCAUCCUGGCUGGACCUGACUCAUGACCCAGUGUUCUCUCCCUACCCUCAGAGGAAGUCCGAGAGCUGCUGGCAACCAUGGAAGGCUUCGAUAGGGAGAACUGGUUGUCCCUGGAGCUGGGAGAGGAGGGACCUGAGGACCAGCCAGAAGAGGCAGCAACUUCAGGGAAGGAGGAUGAAGAACCCACACCUGGGGCUGGGGAGAAGCCUGUGAGCCUCAGCACUGGGGCAGCUGGGCAGCUAGAGGAGGAAGCUGCACUGCAACUGGCCCUCCAUCGGUCACUGGAGCCUCAAGACAAGGUUGCUGAGCAGGAGGAAGCUGCUGCACUAAGACAAGCCCUGGCCCUCUCCCUUUUGGAGCAACCCCUGUUGGAAGCAGAAGAGUCCCUGAAUGGAGGAACUGGUAGUGGGGCCCAGCUGGUGGUGCAUGCACCCUUUGAGCAGGAUAUAGAUGAGUUGGAACAAGCAUUAACAGCUGCCUUGGAGGUACACCUGAAUAAGGAGACUGUGAGACACCCAGGCCGUGUGCUGCCCACAGAGCUGUGUGCUCGCCUGGGGCAGUGCCAUGGUGUGAAUGUUGCCCUGCGUGGUGAUUGCACUGUCUUUUGUGGCUUUGGAGCCCAACCUGCCCGUGCGGCACGCCACUUCGCUGUGCUACUUGCUGGCCCCUGGGAUCAGAGUUUGGCCUUUCCCUUGGUGGCUUCAGACACUACUUGUGAGUCUGUGCUUUGGACUAGGAGAGGGCAGGUGGCUGACUAUUGGGCUAGUGUGUAAGCAUGGCCCUGAUGUCCUUUCUUUCUACAUAUCAGUGCUAGAACAGAGGCUGAAAAGGCCACUGGGAAAGCUGGAGGGCCUGGAAGAGAGCACCAAGGAAUUCCAAAAUGUGGUGAAGGCUUUCUAUGACACCCUGGAUACUGCCCACAGCAGAAUCCGCAUCAUACGGGUGAGUCUAUACUCUGUCUCACAGGUCUCGGUGAGACUUGCCUGCAUCAGAGUCUGCUGUCCAGGACCUGCUCAGCAGACAGGCUAGAGACUGAGGUAGGGACAGGAGAGCACUGGGGCCUGAGGGAGGCUCUCUGCAAGGAACUAUGUGAGAUGCUCUGUACACCUCAGUUUCCCUGCCUGGACUAUGGAAUGGUGAUGCUCUCUUGACCACUGUGAGAGCUACUUAUUCCCAUAAAUGAGUAACUUGUCCUGUUCUAGGGGCUCUUCUGUCUCCAACUGGGGCCAGGGCUCCCUGCAGUGUGGUGACCUCUUCUUGGCUUGUUUGUUUGUUUAUUGUGAGGCUAGGGAUCAAAGUCAGGGCCUCCAGCAUACUAGACAAGUGCUCUACCACUGACCUACAUCCUCAGCCCCUUUUCUUGUCUUCUAACUUACUAAAUUUGGCAACCCUGAAAAUGGACUUGUUUUCAAAAAAGGCUGGGAAAAAUUGGUGGGGAGUUAGAGUGAAGCCCCAGGAGCCACUACCUGUCCAGGAAGGUGAAGAAGAACCAAGAAGGAGGGACUAGAGAGACCAGAGAGGUUUACAGAAGACAUAGGUUGGGGCAGGGGUGCACAAGAUGAGUAGGAACCACAAUAUCUUCCCUGCCCAAAGGAAGGACUAAGGAGGGAGUGUUGGUCAGGAUGGUCUAUCAGGGAGUUAGUGUGGGGAGGGGGCAAAGAGUAAAUGGGGGAUGAGGGCAGGAACAACUCUGGAAAUAGGCUGGGUAAGAGGGAGAAGGAUAGAGAUAGAAGUAGAUAGAAGAAGUCCAGGGUUGAAGAAGUUUCUGAUCCAGAAAACAGUGUGCUCAUAACUGAGGGAUGAAUCCAAGAGAGGGCUGGCCAUAGACAGAUGAGAAGGACAGAGGAGAGCUUGAGUCACUGUGCUGGUAAGCCUGGGCAGAGAGUUCUCCCCUCUUGAUGCUCAGUUAUGGGUACAGCCAGCAGCAGCAGCCUCCACCUAGAGCUGGUCAUAAAUGCAGAACCUCUGGUCUUCCCCAAGGUUGGGGAAGUCACCUACAACCUGACCUACUUACCCACUUCCAUCACCAUUACCACCACCACCAUCACCACCACUACCAUCAUCCCACCACCACCACCACCAUCCCACUGGUGACAGUUACCACCAUCACUGUCACCACCAACAGCAUUCCACUAGUACAAUCACCACAAUCACCACUAUCCCACCACCACCACCAUCCUACCACUAUAGUUAUAAAAAAUAGAACCAUAGUAAGUAAAGUAAAUGAAAUCCUAUUAUUAAAACUACUGCAUGAAAGAAAGUGUUCUAAGCUUAUCUUGUGAUUUUUUACUUCAUUUUUUUUCUUGGUUGUGCUUGGCUGCUAGGGUACUUUGUGCCUCCUCAAUACCCUCUUUUUGGAGGAAGGGGUACCAGGGAUUGAACUCAGGGCACUCGACUCCUGUGCCACAUCCCCAGCCCUAUUUUGAAUUUUAUUUAGAGACAGGGUCUCACUGAGUUGCUUAGAGCCUCGCUUUUGCUGAGGCUGGCUUUAAACUUGUGAUCCUCCUGCCUCAGCCUUCAGAGCCGCUGGGAUUACAGGUGUGCACCUCCGAGUCUGGCUUGAUACCCUCUUGUGUGAAUUCUGUUCUUGAGUAAGGAGUAUCUCUGAGUGGGUAGUGAACAUUUUGACUUUUAAGUUUAAAAAUAACUUUUAUAAUUAGAAGUAUUUUACAAUUCUAAUUUGAGUUGAUAUAAACUUUCUAUGUUGUUAAAUGUUCUAACUUGUCUUUAUUUCUACAUUCUUCAUUAAUAAUUUUGCUGGGAUACACUGUUCAGGUUCAAAAGAUAUUUGCCCUCAGACUUUUGAAGACUUUGCUCUUUUUUAAAUUUUAAGAUUCUUUUACCCUACAAACUUAAAAACAUAAAUAUCUCCAUGGUUUCUUAGUAUCCAGCAUUGGUGAGAUACUCAAUGUGAGAUUUCUUCCCAUUUGUACAUUAACCUUGAUAGUGGGUGUGUGGGUGGGUGGGGUGUGGGUGUAUACAUUUGAUAAGUUUUCUUCACUUCAAGGGUAAGAUUUUCCUGUCAGGUGCCAGGAAUAUGUCCUUCACAUUGUCCUUCGUGGCAUUUCAUGGGUCCUCCCAUCUGGAGAUGUUACCUUUCUGCUCGUCUUCCAUUGUGUUCCCAGGAGCCCCCACUCUUGCCUGUUGUCUUUUCCUGGAGCUCCUGAGAGGCAGAACUUAGACCUCUUCCACUUGCCUCGCUCCCCGUGUGUUGUUUCCUUCUUUUCCUUUAGCUCUGCUCUCUGCAUCAAUUACUUAUUUCCAUGUAGAUCCUCUAGCUGGAUCUUUAGCUCUAACCAUUCCAUUAUCUGGCCCACCCACAGAAGUUAGCUCAGCAUUCUUGUUCUUGGCCUCCUUCUUCAUACUAGGGGAUCCAACCCAGGGCCUCCCACAUGCUAGGCCAGUGCUGUUCUACUGAGCUGCAUCUUCAGCCCAGCAAUCUCAUUCUUAAUGUAAGAACUAUUUCUUAUUUUUAGACUUUUUUUUUUUUAGCAUCUAGUCUUGUUUUAUGAAUGUAGUAUUGUUUUGAUUGCCUCUGAAGCAACUAAUUAGAGUUUCUUUAAAAGCUGUAUUUGGGUCCUUGAGUUUGUUACUUUAGGGCUUGGUCACUUCAGGCCUUCUCUCCUGCCUGGGUCUUCUAGAACUGAGAGGGCUGUGGCAUCUGAACGUUGGGAGUACUGCUGAGGGCAGUGUAGGCACCUGGCUAGGUUUUAUGCUCCAGAGGUCUGGCUGUGCGUCCUGCGUUCAGGUGAUCCUGUGGAGUUUGUCCACCUGCAGACCUCUCUGCAGGAGUUAGACCUCCCUGGAGGUGUCAGGCCUUCCUAGAAGUCCUGGGAUGCCACUUGCUCCCUAAUGGAGGUAGUUUAUGUCUGUGGCUGGACAGAGAAUGAGGGGGCUGCAAGGUCUCCCCCUAAAUUUUCCACCAAGGGGCUCCUGAUUGCUGACCUCAGCUUUUCCUGGGCCAACCCACAGGCAUAGGAAAUAACUGCAAGAAAUAACUGCAAAUAGCCUGGCUCUGACCAUCUCUCACCUGAUAGGUGGAGCGUGUGUCGCACCCGCUGCUGCAGCAGCAGUACCAGCUGCACCUGGAGCGCCUUGAGGAACGCUGCGUGCAGCGCCCUGUGGAGCGGGUCCUGUACCAUGGCACAUCGGCCUCCGCAGUGCCGGACAUCUGCGCGUUCGGUUUUAACCGCAGCUUCUGCGGCCGCAACGGUUAGGCCUAGGCUGGGCAGGGCUGGGGCUCCAUCAACCCCCAUCACUCUGACCUCUGCCGCUUCCGCCUUGCAGGUACGCUCUACGGGCAGGGUGUGUACUUCGCCAAGCGCGCCUCCCUAUCCGUGCAGGACCGCUACUCGCCUCCCAAUGCUGACGGCCACAAGGCGGUGUUUGUGGCACGGGUGCUGACGGGAGACUAUGCGCAGGGCCGCCGCGAUCUGCGGGCACCCCCUCUGCGGCCCUCUGGCCAUGUGCUCCUGCGCUACGACAGUGCUGUGGAUUGCCUCCAUCAGCCCAGCAUCUUUGUCAUCUUCCACGACACUCAGGCGCUGCCCACUCAUCUCAUCACCUGCGAGCACAUACCCCCGGCUUCCCUUGGGCUCUCGAGUCCCUCUCUGGCCACCUGACCCAAGGGGUUAGCCUGUGGCCUGCUGCUCUACAGGUUCCCCGUUCUACAAACCCCCCUUUCCUCCCUGGGGACGUUCCUGCUUCUUGUUGGGGAGCAGGAAUCCAGGCCGACCCGGAGGGCUGGGUCGGCCCAACCACCAGGGGUCAGCAAAGCCCAGCAGGAGGGUGCGCCGGCCUGACACGCCCGUCUUGGCUGGACCUCGUCUGAGCGCUUCUGUGUCUCUGAAUAAACGUGAAACCAGGCAGAACCUCCUGGCGUUCGG
rnacentral:lncRNA from 1 species